rnacentral:rRNA from 1 species
UGGGGAAUCUUCCGCAAUGGGCGAAAGCCUGACGGAGCAACGCCGCGUGAACGAAGAAGGUCUUCGGAUCGUAAAGUUCUGUUGUUAAGGGCGAAGGAUGCUUAUUAUAAUACAGUAAGUAUUUGACGGUACUUAACGAGGAAGCCACGGCUAACUACGUGCCAGCAGCCGCGGUAAUACGUAGGUGGCAAGCGUUGUCCGGAAUUAUUGGGCGUAAAGGGAGCGCAGGCGGGAAAUUAAGCGGAUCUUAAAAGUGCGGGGCUCAACCUCGUGAUGGGGUCCGAACUGAUUUUCUUGAGUGCAGGAGAGGAAAGCGGAAUUCCCAGUGUAGCGGUGAAAUGCGUAGAUAUUGGGAAGAACACCAGUGGCGAAGGCGGCUUUCUGGACUGUAACUGACGCU